CACGCAGUAAACUAUGAUUACUCGCUGUUUGCGAUACACCGUAAGCGGCUUAGCGAAAGCGUUAAGUAAUCCACCUGGGGAGUACGUUCGCAAGAAUGAAACUCAAAGGAAUUGACGGGGGCCCGCACAAGCGGAGGAACAUGUGGUUUAAUUCGAUGAUACGCGAGGAACCUUACCCGGGCUUGAAAUGCAUCUGACAGGAGCAGAGACGCUCUCUUCCUUCGGGACAGAUGUGUAGGUGC
rnacentral:rRNA from 2 species